UGGGGAAUAUUGCACAAUGGGGGAAACCCUGAUGCAGCGACGCCGCGUGAGCGAAGAAGUAUUUCGGUAUGUAAAGCUCUAUCAGCAGGGAAGAAAAUGACGGUACCUGAGUAAGAAGCCCCGGCUAAAUACGUGCC
rnacentral:rRNA from 1 species